GUGGGGAAUAUUGGACAAUGGGGGGAACCCUGAUCCAGCCAUGCCGCGUGUGUGAAGAAGGCCUUUUGGUUGUAAAGCACUUUAAGCGAGGAGGAGGCUACCGAGAUUAAUACUCUUGGAUAGUGGACGUUACUCGCAGAAUAAGCACCGGCUAACUCUGUGCCAGCAGCCGCGGUAAUAAAGAGGGUGCAAGCGUUAAUCGGAUUUACUGGGCGUAAAGCGCGCGUAGGUGGCCAAUUAAGUCAAAUGUGAAAUCCCCGAGCUUAACUUGGGAAUUGCAUUCGAUACUGGUUAGCUAGAGUAUGGGAGAGGAUGGUAGAAUUCCAGGUGUAGCGGUGAAAUGCGUAGAGAUCUGGAGGAAUACCGAUGGCGAAGGCAGCCAUCUGGCCUAAUACUGACACUGAGGUGCGAAAGCAUGGGGAGCAAACAGGAUUAGAAACCCGAGUAGUCC
rnacentral:rRNA from 1 species